UACGGAGGGUGCGAGCGUUGUCCGGAAUCAUUGGGCGUAAAGGGUGCGUAGGCGGUCUUGUGCGUCGGUGCUGAAAGCGCCCGGCUUAACCGGGCGAGGCGUGCCGAUACGAUAAGACUGGAGGGGCAGCGAGGGUGGCGGAACUCCUGGUGUAGUGGUGAAAUGCGUAGAGAUCAGGAAGAACACCCGUGGCGCAAGCGGCCACCUGGCUGCCAACUGACGCUGAGGCACGAGAGCGUGGGGAGCGAACCGG
rnacentral:rRNA from 1 species